rnacentral:rRNA from 1 species
ACGAAGGGGGCUAGCGUUGUUCGGAAUCACUGGGCGUAAAGGGCGCGUAGGCGGCUUUAUAAGUCGGGGGUGAAAGCCUGUGGCUCAACCACAGAAUUGCCUUCGAUACUGUAGAGCUUGAGACCGGAAGAGGUAAGUGGAACUGCGAGUGUAGAGGUGAAAUUCGUAGAUAUUCGCAAGAACACCAGUGGCGAAGGCGGCUUACUGGCUCGUAACUGACGCUCAUGCACGACAGCGUGGGGAUCAAACAGGA